rnacentral:rRNA from 1 species
UUAUUAUUGUAUAAGUCGAUGGGAUCUUAAUUUUAUGUGACAAAAAACAACAGAUUUGUUUAUUAAAGUAAUCUUUAUUUCAUGUAAACAAUUUUGGUUUUUUCUGGAAAAAGCAUAAGAUUUGAAAUAAAACCGUACUGUAAACCGACACAGGUGGAUUUGUUGAAUAUGCGUAGGUGUACAAGAUAAUUGUGUUGAAGGAACUCGGCAAAUUGGCUCUGUAACUUCGGGAUAAGGAGUAACUCGAGAAGAGUUAACAUUAAAGAGAGAGGACUAACUGUUUAAUAAAAACACAGGUCUCUGCAAAUUUGAAAAAAGAUGUAUAGAGGCUGAGAUCUGCCCAGUGCUGUAAUGUGACGUGGAUAGGCUAUGGCUUUGAAAUUAAUCACCAGUAAACGGCGGCUGUAACUAUAACGGUCCGAAGGUAGCGAAAUUCCUUGUCGGGUAAGUUCCGACCUGCAUGAAUGAUUUAAUAAGUUCUCUGCUGUCUCCAAUACGAACUUGGUGAAAUUGAAAUACCUGUGAAAAUGCAGGUUUUUUGCAGUUAGACGGAAAGACCCUAUACAUCUUUACUAUGAUUAUAAGUUGUAAAAUAUAAUAUUUUGUAUAGAAUAGGUGGGAGUUCUUUACAACCGUGUAAUACCAUCCUAAAUUUUAUAUUUUACUUAACGAAUUGACAGCUUGUGAGAGGUAGUUUGGCUGGGGCGGCCUUCUCCUAAAAGGUAACGGAGGAGUACAAAAGGUAAAUUCAGAUAAGUUUUUAUUGUAGAGUGUAACGGCAAUGUUUGCUUGACUGUAAGAAUGACAAUUCGAGCAGGGACGAAAGUCGGUCGUAAUGAUCCGGUGAUUUUGGGUGAAAGAUUCAUCGCUCAACGAAUAAAAGAUACGUUAGGGAUAACAGGCUAAUGGUUUUUGAGAGUUCCUAUCGACGAGACCGUUUGGCACCUCGAUGUCGACUCAUCACAUCCUAGAGCUGAAGAAGGUUCUAAGGGUUCGACUGUUCGUCGAUUAAAGUGAUACGCGAGUUGGGUUUAAAACGUCGUGAGACAGUUUUGUCCCUAUCUGCUGCAGGAGUAAAAAAUUGAAAGGAUUAAAUCUUAGUACGAGAGGAUUGGAUUAGGUAAACCUAUUGUGUACUGGUUAUUCGGUUUAGGGUAUUGCCAGGUAGCUACGUUUAUAAGAAAUAAUCGCUGAAGGCAUCUAAGCGAAAAGUUCUCCUUGAUAUAAUUUUUAUAUUUUUAUCGUGAAAGACUAUUACGUUGAUAGGCUUAAAAUAUACGCAGAGCAAUCUGUUUAGUUUACGAGUACUAAUUCAAAAAUUGUGAAAAUAUU